rnacentral:rRNA from 1 species
UACGUAGGGGGGCAAGCGUUUGUCCGGAUUUAUUGGGCGUAAAGCGCGUGUAGGCGGUCCGGUAAGUCCGCUGUGAAAGUCGGGGGGCUCAACCCUCGGAUGCCGGUGGAUACUGUCGGGCUUGAGUACGGAAGAGGCGAGUGGAAUUCCUGGUGUAGCGGUGAAAUGCGCAGAUAUCAGGAGGAACACCAAUUGCGAAGGCAGCUCGCUGGGACGUUACUGACGCUGAGACGCGAAAGCGUGGGGAGCAAACAGG